rnacentral:rRNA from 1 species
GGUUUAGAGUCCUGGCGUCAGGACUGAACGCUGCGGCAUGCCUAAUACAUGCAAGUCGAACGAGAGACCUUCGGGUCUCUAGUGGCGAACGGGUGAGUAACACGUAGGGAACCUGCCCGCGCACCGGGAAUACGCUCUGGAAACGGAGAACAAAUCCCGAUGUACAGGAAGGAGGCAUCUUCUUUCUGUGAAACAUCCUUUAGGGGGAUGGGGCGCGGAUGGACCUGCGGUGCAUUAGUUGGUUGGCGGGUAAAGGCCCACCAAGACGAUGAUGCAUAGCCGGCCUGAGAGGGCGGACGGCCACAUUGGGACUGAGACACGGCCCAGACUCCUGCGGGAGGCAGCAGUAGGGAAUUUUCGUCAAUGGGCGCAAGCCUGAACGAGCGAUGCCGCGUGAGUGAAGAAGGCCUUCGGGUCGUAAAGCUCUGUUGCGGGGGGAAAAAAGGCAGCAUCAGGAAAUGGGUGCUGACUGAUGGUGCCCCGCCAGAAAGUCACGGCUAACUACGUG